rnacentral:lncRNA from 1 species
GAAACCUUUGUUUUGUUUUCUUUUUUUCCUAAAGAUCAGAAAGAGAAGGAGGGAGGGAAGGGAAUAGAGAGAGGGAGAGAGAGAGGCUCCAUUGUCUUGACUUGAGCAGCAGACUAUCCCGUCCUUGCUCAUCAAGAGUGGGCUGCUGGGAUCAUAGAAAUCCAGUUCAGGGAAUUUCCCCCAAAGAAGGAAGUCAUUAACCAAGAAUCCCCCUCUGUCUUUUAGGGCACGUGAAACAUCAGAAGAAUUGAGAAGACUCUAACAGACAACGUAGUGGUUAAGAGGAGGGGACUCUGAAGUCAGAUUGCCUGGGUUCAAGUCUGACUCCACCACCUGCUGGCUGAGUGGAUCUUUGUGCUGAUUACUCAGCUUCUCUGAAAGCAUGGCGUGCCAAGCGGUGCCAUGUCCAUACCCGGAACCUGAACCUGCCAACCCCGUGCCGCCGAAGCGGAACGUGUGCACUUAACUGCUGCACCACCGGGCCGGCCCCUCCAUGGAACUGAGGUAACUCAAGCAAGUCAUUUGGGAUUUCAUAAUUUUGUUUCAUUUUUUCCUCGUGAAAUUGUCUUCACUAAGGGCAGAUGAAGGAGCCACUUGAAAUGAGUUCCAUGUCAAUGGAGUUUGAGGAAGACUGGCCCUGAGCUAACAUCCACGCCCAUCUUCCUCUACUUUAUAUGUAGGACGCCUGCCACAGCAUGGCUUGACAAGUGGUGCAUAUGUCCACACCCAGGAUCCGAACCAGCGAACCCCAGGCCGUUGAAGCAGAAUGUGUGAACUUAACCGCUGUGCCACUGGGCUGGCCCCUGCAAUAUGUUCUUGAUGUAGUUCAAGCAAUAUUUGAAGUUUCAGUGGAAGCUUUUGAAUCUCACUUCCAAGGUGUAGAUUGUUACAUGGUAAACAUGCUUGCUCAGGCUGAUGCCUUUUUAUUAGAACUGUAUGCUCUUUAUUCUGUUGAUUUUCUUCACGUGUCUUAAAUAUGUCCUUAUUUUUCUCCUUCAAGCCUUUCUAAGUAAACGGCAUCAAUGAGUUUCUUCAAAUCAACUUCUGAUUCAUAGUCUAGGUAAUCUCUAUUUGCUGAUCUACUCUUUUUGUCUAAUUUCAAGUUACCCUCAUGUAAUGUUUCUAGAAAGAACAGGCUUUAGUUCAGUUUCAGAUACUUUGACUGGCUCUCCUUAUCACUGAC